GAAGAACAGGAAUAUUCCGGUUUUUCCAGGUUGCCUGAAAAAAUGUAGUCACGUAGUUUUCUUAGACGGUGAACAAGUUGUAUUACAAAGAGCAAAAAGUUUUUUCUUUUGGAGAUACACCGAAAUAUUAAAGAAAUAUUCAGAGAGCGAGACAACAUUGGUUGUGAUGGCUGAACGUUUUUUCCUGCUACUAGUCACCCGUGAGGCACGGAGCAGCCGCGUGAGCACAUUUUGACCAGAGGUCAGGUCCUUUUAGCGGGAACCUAAACUUCCUGGAGCUGCAUUCGAAUAUCGUUGGAUGUUGAUGCUGGAACUGGCGUGAACAGGAAGUUGGGGGAGGCACUCAAUGGUAGGGCGUCACUGCACUUACUCAGUACUUCCUCUACAGCUCUCUGUGUAGAAAAAUUGAGUUUUCAGUUACCAUGGCAUUCACAAGGUCCAAGGAGGACGACACUAAUUCAGUAUACCCCAGCUUUAUCCAUGCAAAACACCAAGACAAGCUUAAGCUACAGAAUGGUAACAGAGAUGGGACAGGACAAGGAUUCACUAUUGUGAAUAGCACAUCUUUACCUCAACCACUUUGACCAACUCGACCAGGUCAAUUUGGCGUGACUCCACAGGCUGGGGGAUCUCAAGACUGCUCUGCUUUGCAUCCUCCAGUAAAGGCUCAACUGCGAGAAAGCAUGGAUUUGCCAGGUCAAGCGUCUGAGCCUGAGGAACUGAGAGAUGAUCUACUAGUGUGAUUUAUGCUGAUGGAAUUUACCUCUGGAUCGCUUCUUUUGUAGCAGGAAGGGUAAAUACCAGUGACCUCAGCAGACCAGCUAAUCAUCCACAUCCCACCAGUUUGCAAGUGGACCAACCUUUGUGAAGAACUUGUGGCCACGGAUAUUCUGCGAUGACGGGCGAUCCUGUGGGUCGAUUUG